rnacentral:rRNA from 1 species
GGGAAACGAUGUGGGAAGGCAUAGACAGCCAGGAUGUUGGCUUAGAAGCAGCCAUCAUUUAAAGAAAGCGUAAUAGCUCACUGGUCGAGUCGGCCUGCGCGGAAGAUGUAACGGGGCUAAACCAUGCACCGAAGCUGCGGCAGCGACGCUUAGCGUUGUUGGGUAGGGGAGCGUUCUGUAAGCCGUUGAAGGUGGCCUGUGAGGGUUGCUGGAGGUAUCAGAAGUGCGAAUGCUGACAUAAGUAACGAUAAAGCGGGUGAAAAGCCCGCUCGCCGGAAGACCAAGGGUUCCUGUCCAACGUUAAUCGGGGCAGGGUGAGUCGACCCCUAAGGCGAGGCUGAAAAGCGUAGUCGAUGGGAAACAGGUUAAUAUUCCUGUACUUGGUGUUACUGCGAAGGGGGGACGGAGAAGGCUAGGCUAGCCGGGCGACGGUGUCCGGUUUAAGCGUGUAGGGGGUGUGACCUGGUAAAUCCGGUUACAUACUAACCCUGAGGCGUGAUGACGAUGCACUACGGUGCAGAGUAGUUGAUGCCUGCUUCCAGGAAAAGCCUCUAAGCUCUAGGUAACUUGAAUCGUACCCCAAACCGACACAGGUGGUCAGGUAGAGAAUACCAAGGCGCUUGAGAGAACUCGGGUGAAGGAACUAGGCAAAAUGGUGCCGUAACUUCGGGAGAAGGCACGCUGGCAUGUAGGUGAAGUCCCUUGCGGAUGGAGCUGAAGCCAGUCGAAGAUACCAGCUGGCUGCAACUGUUUAAUAAAAACACAGCACUGUGCAACACCGAAAGUGGACGUAUACGGUGUGACGCCUGCCCGGUGCUGGAAGGUUAAUUGAUGGGGUCAGCCGCAAGGCGAAGCUCUUGAUCGAAGCCCCAGUAAACGGCGGCCGUAACUAUAACGGUCCUAAGGUAGCGAAAUUCCUUGUCGGGUAAGUUCCGACCUGCACGAAUGGCGUAAUGAUGGCCAGGCUGUCUCCACCCGAGACUCAGUGAAAUUGAACUCGCUGUGAAGAUGCAGUGUACCCGCGGCAAGACGGAAAGACCCGUGAACCUUUACUAUAGCUUGACACUGAACAUUGAGCCUUGAUGUGUAGGAUAGGUGGGAGGCUUUGAAGCGUGGACGCCAGUCUGCGUGGAGCCAUCCUUGAAAUACCACCCUUUAAUGUUUGAUGUUCUAACUCGGCCCCAUAAUCUGGGGUGAGGACAGUGUCUGGUGGGUAGUUUGACUGGGGCGGUCUCCUCCCAAAGAGUAACGGAGGAGCACGAAGGUUAGCUAAUCACGGUCGGACAUCGUGAGGUUAGUGCAAAGGCAUAAGCUAGCUUGACUGCGAGAGUGACGGCUCGAGCAGGUACGAAAGUAGGUCUUAGUGAUCCGGUGGUUCUGAAUGGAAGGGCCAUCGCUCAACGGAUAAAAGGUACUCCGGGGAUAACAGGCUGAUACCGCCCAAGAGUUCAUAUCGACGGCGGUGUUUGGCACCUCGAUGUCGGCUCAUCACAUCCUGGGGCUGAAGUAGGUCCCAAGGGUAUGGCUGUUCGCCAUUUAAAGUGGUACGCGAGCUGGGUUUAGAACGUCGUGAGACAGUUCGGUCCCUAUCUGCCGUGGGCGUUGGAAGAUUGAGAGGGGUUGCUCCUAGUACGAGAGGACCGGAGUGAACGCACCACUGGUGUUCGGGUUGUCAUGCCAAUGGCAUUGCCCGGUAGCUAAGUGCGGAAAAGAUAAGCGCUGAAAGCAUCUAAGCGCGAAACUUGCCUCAAGAUGAGUCUUCCCUGGGCCUUCAAGGCCCCUGAAGGAACGUUUAAGACUAAGACGUUGAUAGGCUGGGUGUGUAAGUGCAGCGAUGCAUUGAGCUAACCAGUACUAAUGAUCCGUGAGGCUUAACCUUACAACACCGAAGGUGUUU